rnacentral:rRNA from 1 species
ACACUCCUGCGGGAGGCAGCAGUGGGGAAUUUUGGACAAUGGGCGAAAGCCUGAUCCAGCCAUGCCGCGUGCAGGAUGAAGGCCUUCGGGUUGUAAACUGCUUUUGUACGGAACGAAACGGCCUUUUCUAAUAAAGAGGGCUAAUGACGGUACCGUAAGAAUAAGCACCGGCUAACUACGUGCCAGCAGCCGCGGUAAUACGUAGGGUGCAAGCGUUAAUCGGAAUUACUGGGCGUAAAGCGUGCGCAGGCGGUUAUGUAAGACAGUUGUGAAAUCCCCGGGCUCAACCUGGGAACUGCAUCUGUGACUGCAUAGCUAGAGUACGGUAGAGGGGGAUGGAAUUCCGCGUGUAGCAGUGAAAUGCGUAGAUAUGCGGAGGAACACCGAUGGCGAAGGCAAUCCCCUGGACCUGUACUGACGCUCAUGCACGAAAGCGUGGGGAGCAAACAGGAUUAGAUACCCGAGUAGUCCCA